CUGAAAGAGUGUCCAACAAGUAACAGAAAUAGCUAAAAAGAUGGUUCAAAAAAUGUAAGGGAAGGUGUGAAGACUGAAACAUAAUUGUAAUGGAAAGGGUGCCCAGGAUCAUUCUCAGCAGGAUCAGAAGCAGGCUGCGCGUCGAGUUUCGGAUUCGAUCAAACUUGUUUCGCCCUGUAACCCCACUGCUUCCACUCUGCUUUCCCCUUACCACCGGACAAGACCAAAGCUUAAUAAUGACCACGCGCACCUCUCUGUUGGAAACCAGUUUUCCGUCUCUCUUCUGCCCGCCACCCACCCCUUCCUGCACUGACUCUCUUUCUCCUUCGCUCCCGCUCUGACUUUAGGCUGCGUAAAAAUGUAAACAAGAAAAAGGAAAACAACAAAACAAACAAUGCGCACAACAACAAAAAAAAACAAGAAAAAUAACGAAAAAUCGAAAAACCGAAACACCGAAAAACGUGUUCGAAAAUGCAAAAGCAACUAUUCCAAUA
rnacentral:lncRNA from 1 species